UGGAUCCAGACUUUGAUCAUGGCUCAGGAUGAACGCUGGCGGCGUGCCUAAUACAUGCAAGUCGAACGAAACUUCUUUAUCACCGAGUGCUUGCACUCACCGAUAAAGAGUUGAGUGGCGAACGGGUGAGUAACACGUGGGCAACCUGCCCAAAAGAGGGGGAUAACACUUGGAAACAGGUGCUAAUACCGCAUAACCAUAGUUACCGCAUGGUAACUAUGUAAAAGGUGGCUAUGCUACCGCUUUUGGAUGGGCCCGCGGCGCAUUAGCUGGUUGGUGGGGUAAAGGCUUACCAAGGCAAUGAUGCGUAGCCGAACUGAGAGGUUGAUCGGCCACAUUGGGACUGAGACACGGCCCAAACUCCUACGGGAGGCAGCAGUAGGGAAUCUUCCACAAUGGGCGAAAGCCUGAUGGAGCAACGCCGCGUGGGUGAAGAAGGUCUUCGGAUCGUAAAACCCUGUUGUUAGAGAAGAAAGUGCGUGAGAGUAACUGUUCACGUUUCGACGGUAUCUAACCAGAAAGCCACGGCUAACUACGUGCCAGCAGCCGCGGUAAUACGUAGGUGGCAAGCGUUAUCCGGAUUUAUUGGGCGUAAAGGGAACGCAGGCGGUCUUUUAAGUCUGAUGUGAAAGCCUUCGGCUUAACCGGAGUAGUGCAUUGGAAACUGGGAGACUUGAGUGCAGAAGAGGAGAGUGGAACUCCAUGUGUAGCGGUGAAAUGCGUAGAUAUAUGGAAGAACACCAGUGGCGAAAGCGGCUCUCUGGUCUGUAACUGACGCUGAGGUUCGAAAGCGUGGGUAGCAAACAGGAUUAGAUACCCUGGUAGUCCACGCCGUGAACGAUGAAUGCUAAGUGUUGGAGGGUUUCCGCCCUUCAGUGCUGCAGCUAACGCAAUAAGCAUUCCGCCUGGGGAGUACGACCGCAAGGUUGCAACUCAAAUGAAUUGACGGA
rnacentral:rRNA from 1 species